UUCAGAACACAAGCCAUGCACUUCAUAGCUCCUGCCUCUGCUCACAUGGUUCUUUAAUUGGUAAUGCCCUUCCCUUCCUCUUCUACACUGAGUUCAAGGUUUUGGGCAGUGCUCUCCCUCUUUGCUCCCAGCACACGAAGGCUGUUUCCACUUACUGAAUAUUCAUGUGUCUUGCAUUAGCAUUAGCUGUUUACGUCUGUUUCCCCUUAGAGACUGUAACUCCUUGAAAAAGGGGCCAACUGAAUCUACUGGUCCCUGUAGACAAGCCCGGGACCUGCUAGGACGUGUUUAGUGUCCUAGGAGCUAUUUGUUGACCACAGAAGAUCUCCUUAAGGGGAAACCUCGCUCCAAUCAACAACUGUACAAUAGUGAAACAGGGCUAGCAGAAGGUGUCAAGCCACAGUGCAGAGGUGCUGCUGGGACUUGUUCCUUUACUAGGCUGUGAACUCCAGCAACGGUGAAGUCACACCUGAUCCCCAGGACCAAGCAUGGUGCCUGCUAACUAUUCAUUAAACAAAUGAACUAAUCCGAAGCACUUAUAGGGAGCACUCAGUCUUGAAGCAGCCAUGCUCAGACCAGGAACCAGCAGCAUGGGACAGGAAGGAGACAGAGCUGCUUUGACGACAAGGGCUGCGUCAGAAUGAAUGGCUAUGACGAAGGAGCAGACGCCGUUUGGAAACCCAAUUACUGCCUGCAAGAGCCUUGGUGAGGACUGCCACAUUCUACUCAACUGUUGGAACAGAGGUGAAACAGCUAAGGAUGGCCCUAAAAUAGUCACCUGCAAGAUCUGAGUGUCUCCUGAAUCCUGCAUCCUGGGCAAACUCCUGAUGCCUGAGAUACGGCUUGAAGGGAUGGCAUCUUCCCUACCUCCUAAUUACGAUCCUGUUCACUUGGCCCAUACAGGUCAGUAAGGAUGGAAGACUAGACAAGUCUGGCCUCACCUGACAUGUCCUGUAUUCUCUGGCAGCCGGAAGCCAUUGCUGUGAAGAUGGAGGCCAUUAGACACACCAUUGGACACACCGUUGGUGGACAUUUUGCCAUUCUGGACUUCUGGAAGGGAUGGAGAGAAAGUAACAAAAACAACUCAGGAGGAGUUCCUCAUUUCUUUUGGCUUUUGGCUUCCAUCACAGGGUCUGAUGGUUGCACUAUUCUCCCAUGGUAACACCCAGUGCCUGAGACCAACAGAUCAAUGGGCAACAGCAUAAAGAAAAGCCUGCGCGCCCUCUGCUGGCUGACUGAGGACACAGUUUUAGUUUAAUUUUUCCCUUAGCUUGAAUACAGGAUGGGGAUGAGGGUUGAUGAUGCGCCUGCAUCAACUAUAUGCAUCAGGAAGAAGUCAAUAAACAAGGUUGAACAGAGGAAGGGCAACUACCUAAGGUCCUCAGUAACCAGGACAUGGAAAGAACACACCUUUUUAGAGGAAGCAGAAAAUGGGGCAUAUAUCGUUGACCUACGAUUGUCUUGUUACUGUAGUAAUAGGGUCAUUUAAGAGAUCUCCUCCUUUUGGAGCAUUGCACCCAGAGUCCAGAGUAAAGGGCAGACUUCUCAGCAGAGGUAGAAGGUGCUGAAGUUCCCCAACCCACCUCAGCAGACACAGUAAGAGAGAACUUACCCCCGGAGGAAUGGCAUUUUCUAGGCAAGAGGAAGGUGUAUGGCCUUUGCUUGUAGGUCAGGUCAAACAAAUAGACCUAGAGUUGAGAAGCCAAGAAGAGAAAUGGAGGAUGUGAGGCAAGGAUGUGGCUGAACCACUAGCAAGGUCAUGAUGGUUCUCAAGAACUAGGGUCUUGCAUGCAGUAAGCACUGAUUAUGAAGCAGAUGAGCUAGUUUAGGAGGUAUUUCCUAGAAGUGAACUUCAGGGAGGAAACUAUUUCUAGCUUCUGGUCCUUGGGGUGGGCUGUUUGAUUUACCCAAAGCCCUGCUGAAUUACUGUCAUUAACUAGAAUCGUAAGUUUAAAUUGGAAAGGUCUUCAAAGAUCCCAAAACUAAAUGUCUCAUUUUAUGGAUGAGAAAACCAACAACUCAGAGAAGAGGCAAUUUGCUUCAAGUAACACAAAUGAGUUGGGCAUGAUGCCUGUAAUCCCAGAACUCAGGAGGCUGAGGCAGGAGAAUUGUUGUGAGUUUGAGACCAACCUGGGGUACACAGUGAGUUCAAGGCCAGCCUAAACUACAUAGUGAGACCCUGUCUCAAAAAGGGGGUGAAGCUGAAGAUUUAGCUCAGCAGUAUGAGUGCCUGCCUUGCAAGCACGCGGUCGUGAGUUUAAUCCCCAGUACCCACCCCCCCAAAAAAGUUUUAAAAAAUUAAAGUAACACAACUUCUCUCAGUAAGAAAAUAUUAUCUAUUACUAAACAUUUUUUUUCUUUUCAUUACUGAGAAUCAAACUCAAGGUCUUCACAAUGAGCUACAUCCCCAGUCCUUUUUAAAAAUUUUUAGACAGGGCCUUGUGAAGUUGCCCAACCUAGGCUAAAACUUGCAGUCCUCCUGAGUCAGUCACCCAGCAUGCUGGGAUUACAGGCAUUUAUUACCACAUGCAGCUUCCAGCCCUUUGCUUUUGUAUAUAUCACACAUUAUAAAGUCAUCACCAUUUCACCUGACAUGUCUCCUAUCAGCCUGGGGAAGGACAUAUUUGCAUUGGUCCCCUCUGUUUACAAUAAUGCUAGUCACAGUGAGUGGCUAGUUUUUGAGAAUGAAUCAAUCUAUACAAGGAUUAUGAAAUACUCUGAAAACACACAAAAGGUUUAGCAACCUGCCAUUAUCAAAGAACAUUUCUGCAAGUUGGCUCUAAACCACAGCCUGGUUACAUUCUCUGAGUCCCACUGAUUUCCUUGUAGGAAAACAGAAGAUAGGGAAACUGAGGCUCAGAAAAAUGAAGAGAAGUGCUCAAAGUCACAGUAAAUAGCUAUUAAACAGAAGACAAAUGUUUGAAAAUAGGUCUGUCAAUUUCAAAGUCUAUGUUUUCUUUCUUUCUUUCUUUUUUGGUUCCAGGGAUCGAAAUCAUGAUCUUGUGCCUGCCAGACGGGUGCUGUGCCACUGAGCUAAAUCCUCAAUCCAAGUCUAUGUUCUUAACCAAAUUAUAAGACAUGAAAGGGGAAAAAAGAGAUCAGGUUAGCAUACCUCUCCAGGAAUCUUUAUGUCACUUCUGUAUUUUGCCAUAUCAUUUACAAUGAGGCUGUGACUUUUGUCUAUCUCUGGGAAGUGACAAAAAGUAUGUAGCCCUGAUGGCUGGGCAUGAGACAGUGGUGGGGCACAGCCACUUUAGGCAGCUGAACUUACCUGCUCCCCUCCCAUGUUGACUAGCAGCUCCGUGCCGUUAGGGCUGAAGGUCACAUAGGUUGCAACCAGCACUCUCAGACGGUUGUUAUAGUCAGGCAGCUUCACUGGCAGAUGCCCUGUAGAGAACAGACCAGUCAGUCUGGAGUGCUGCUCCUAGUCUUCCUCAAAGGGGCUGGGGAUUAUGUGAAGAUAGCCCUACUGAAAACGUUUGCAGUCAACAUCAUAGGAGAUACAGGUAUUAACCCUUCACUAUCAGCACUGGGUCAGUUGUUUUAUAUGCUUUAUCUCAGUCAUUUAAAAAAAAACCCAUUUUAGGGGCCAGGGAUUUAGCUCAGGUAUAAGCACCUGCCUGGCAAGUGUGAGGUCAUGAGUCUGAUCCCCAAAAAACAAACAAAAAAUCAAAAUAACUCCCUACCCCAUUUUAUAGUAAAGAAACUCAUCAAGAUUAAGUAAUUUGCUAAAGAUUGCCUAGCUGAUCAAUGGCAGGAUCAGGAUUAAAAUCCAAAUUAACUAGGUGUGUGGCACACACCUGUAAUCCCAGCAUGUCUGUAAUCAGAGCACAUGGGAGGCUGAGGAAGGAGAUCAUUGUGAGUUCCAGGCCAGCCUGGGCUAGAGUUAGUUCAAGGUCAUCCAGAACUGCAUAGCAAAACCCUGUCUCAAAAACAAACAAAAAAACAAGAAAAAAGAAAAAGACCAAAUCUGUCUGACUCUAAAACCCUUGCUUGAACCUGGGAUUUAACUCAGCAGCAUAAGUGCUGCCUGGCAAGCACGAGAUCAUCAGGAGUAUGAACCUCGGUACCAAAAAAAAAAAAAAAGAAAAAAAAGUUAAAUUACGUACAUGUAGCAACUCUCUGCAAUGAAUGUAAUCAUUAUGAACUACAAACAUGUACUAAUAAACAUUAAAAUAAUAUUUAAUUAAAAACCCUCACUUGUGCCACACUGUGCCCCAGGACUACCUCAGAAAGAGUGAGUAUCCAGCCAAAAGUAUGAGGCCAGAGCCAGGCUGAGGCCUACCUGCUACAUAAUACUGGGCUGCACCAUCUGGAAGGGGUUUCUGCCUGUCACAGAAGGUGUGCACACCUGCUGAAGGGCUCUGCUUCAUGCUUUUUCUGGUGGGAAGGAAGAUCACACAGGUUAGAAUCCUAGCACUAACCCUGCCUACAAAACCAGAGGCUUCCCUAGAGGGAGCCUAAAUCUGUGUCCCUGAGAGACACAGAAGAUACCUUCUUCCUUAUUUAAAUGACUCCCAGGUCUACCCACUAGACAGCUAUGGAUAAACAUCUUAGUGUUUUACCAGGGACGUCCUGUAAACUGUCUGGAUCCUCAGGACUACCUUGUUAUUCUAACUCAUAAGGAAGCUAAGGAUGAGGGUCCACUUCAAGACACACAGUGUGGGAAGGGCAAUGGUGGUCUCUCAAAUCUGUGAAUGAAAGUAAAGCAGACCACACACAGCUGCACCUCUCCCAAGAAUCACAGAAAGCCCAGACUUCAUGAGCUUCUCAGGUCUGGGACUUAUUGGGGAACUGGGGGACUGCUGUGUAUAUUUUACUUUUUCUUUUUUUUUAAAAAAAGAUUAAAAUAAAAUUUCAUGUAUAAGACUAUAA